GGGCCGUUAGCUCAGUUGGUAGAGCUGUUGACUCUUAAUCAAUAGGUCAUAGGUUCGAGUCCUAUACGGCCCACCA
rnacentral:tRNA from 1 species